CUGGCCUCACAGCUGCUCCCUGCAGGGCCCGGGCACACCUGGCCAGUCGCUGGCAGGAGGGCUGCUGGAAGCGGCUGGGUUCUGGGCCCUGAGUCCAAGGUCAGGGUCUGCCUGGCUGCAGAGCCCUGGCUCCCCACCUGGGGAUUACCACAGGGAGGAAAGGGGGUCAGCCUCAGCUCAGAGCAAGGCUCAAAAUCAGGGCCCCGGAUCUGCUGCAUCCAGUGACGGCUGAGAAUCCGUGCUGUCCCUCGUCCUCCACCAGUGACUGGGUGGGGUGUUGGUGGGGGUGCAAGACAGCCCAGACCCACCACCCGACCUUCGGCAGCCCUUCUUCCCUAGCCUUUCAGAGACUCAAAGGGACUUCUCAGAAAAGCAAAACCCGGGCACCCGAGGCCUCAGCCAGUGUGAGAAGCAGAAGCCCUGGGUUUCUUCCCGGGGCGGUGGAACAGCGGCUGUUCCCCAAGGUGGAAGGGAAAGAAUAACACUCAGAAGGUGGGUGCUGGAAUGUUCUCAUGGGACUCUCUGGAAAGUUCUAGGAGAGAGGGAGUCACGUCCCCAUCACAGUGAGGCAGUAACGGAAGCCAGGAGUGUGAGGAGACUUGUCCACGGUCACCCAGAGUUGGGACACCCCUGGGACAGGCCGUUCACCCCGAUGCUUAGCUUCCCGGCAGCCUCCGGCCAGGCUGUGUGUCAAUAUUUAUCCAGCAAAUGGGUAAACACAGAAGGGAGGCCGGCACACAGUGCUCUGUGUGUGUGUGCGUGUGCGUGUGUGUGUGGUGUGUAUGUGCAUGUGUGUCGUGUGUGUGUGUGUGUGUGGUGUAUAUGUGCGUGUGUGUGUCAUAUGUGUGGUGUGUGUGUGGUGUGUGUGGCCAGGCCUCCCGCUCAGCCUCCGCAGGGCCUUUGCACUGCUGUGCUGUGCUCCAGGGCCAGUGCUCCCCUUGCAGGUCUUUGCCCAAAUGUCACCACUUUAGCAGCCUGCCCCACCUCCCACCCCACACCCAUACCACCCACACCCACACCCAGACACCCAGACACCCACACUCACACACACACACACACACACACACACCCCAAGGCCCAUAGACACGCUCCUCUCUCCUCUUUGUCCUUUUCUCCCCUUGGUGUCUGUGCCAUUUCCACCUGAAAUCAUACCGUGAUCUGGUUUUUGAAACGUCUAAAUUGAUUAGGUGUGAAACACACAGCGUGGUCUUUCUCUUUGGAGCAGGAAGGAGGGAGGGGAGAGGCCUGCAGGGAGGAGGGGGACGGAGCAAAAGGUCAG
rnacentral:lncRNA from 1 species